rnacentral:lncRNA from 13 species
CUGUCUGGUUUCCCGGAUAUAGAUUAACCACAGAGAUAAUAUAUCUGUCUGGUUUCCCGGAUAUAGAUUAACCACAGAGAUAAUAUAUCUGUCUGGUUUCCCGGAUAUAGAUUAACCACAGAGAUAAUAUAUCUGUCUGGUUUCCCGGAUAUAGACUAAACCUGGUCCAAAGGCUGUCUAUAUGAAGAUGAUAUAGAUUAAACCUGGUCCAAAGGCUGUCUGUAUGGUCUAAAGGCUGUCUAUAUGAAGAUGAUAUAGAUUAAGCCUGGUCUAAAGGUCGUCUAUAUGAAGAUGAUAUAGAUUAAGCCUGGUCCAAAGGCUGUCUAUAUGAAGAUGAUAUAGGUUAAGCCUGGUGUAAAGGCUGUCUGUAUGGUCUAAAGGCUGUCUAUAUGAAGCUGAUAUAGAUUAAGCCUGGUCCAAAGGUCGUCUAUAUGAAGAUGAUAUAGACUAAACCUGGUCCAAAGGCCGUCUAUAUGAAGAUGAUAUAGAUUAAGCCUGGUCUAAAGGUCGUCUAUAUGAAGAUGAUAUAGAUUAAGCCUGGUCCAAAGGCUGUCUGGAUGAAGCAUCUUAAAGUAGGAGUGCUGAUUGAUGGUCAGCUUCCCCCUUUUUAGAUCCCAAUAAAUAAGGUUACAUGGACAGGGGGACCUGAUCCUAGAUCAGCUCUCCUACUCUGAGACACAUGAUACAUAACGGCCCCAUGGAGCAACAAUCGGUUUCUCUAUUGAACCUGCUAUUUAAAUGCAGAACUAGUCUUAAAUCGGUGUCCGGGAAACUGGCCUUACAUGUUGUCAGCUGGUUAAAGGCGCAAUCUGCAGUUCAAACUGGCCUUAAAUGUUGUCAGCAACGUAGCGCUGGUUAAAGGCGCAAUCUGCAGUUCAAACUAGAGGUCAAACUACAAAUCGAUAAUCAGCAUUUUUGGAGGCCGAUUAUGGCCAUGAUUGCAUUCAAUUCCAUGAGGAGACUGAGUGGCAGGCCGACCACCUGGUACGCGAGGGCAGCAAGGAGCCAAGGUAAGGUGCUAGCUAGCAU